CCUCACUGGACUGGACUGGAUUAAUAGUUAGUCCAGUCCCAUGUUUGUGAGCAAUGACUGCGUUUAAUGGAAUUAUCCGGGACUCGCGUCGACUAAAACCUUCUUCGGUAGAAGGUCUCAGCCAAGAACCCCCAGAACGGGCGGACUGCUAAUCCCGUCCUCUCCCUUGUCUUUCGCACCUUCGCCCUCUCGUCUUCUUCUUCCUCGCCUUCUCCUUCCUCGUCGCACCUUUGCCCUCUCGAUCGUCUUCAGCUCCCUUGUCGGUUUUCAGCCGCGUACUCUGCGUUCGCUACCAAAGGCCUCCUCAAGUGGGCGGAUUAGCACUGCGAGUGAAAUAUUGUCAUCUGUUUGGUUGCUCAGGGCCUCACCGUUAGCGGCUCCAACUCCACAUCCAGGCACCGGUCAAAUUCGAACUCCCACCAUCUCAUUGCAGCUCCAAAAAGGGCAGCAACGCCUUGCCCUGCAACUCCAGCUCCAUCACCGACCACCUUCUUCAGCCUCCACCAACUUGUUAAUCAGAAGUCGCCGUGUGACCCAUGCUUGACACACUGCUGCUUGCACUGGUGGCCCUUGUGCCAUGAGCACAUGGAGAUGAAGGGAUAAACCCCAAAGAUGUUGGGUUUAGUCACACUACAGUAUAGCACUGGUGAAUUGAAGCUGCGGCUCCACUGUUAUUAACAGCCGUUAGCGGCGAUUGUUAGUCGCUGGGAGAAGGUGAAAUCUAUUGCUGAGCUACCUCAACUCUCUUCAGAACACAAGGCAGCCAGCAA